rnacentral:rRNA from 1 species
GACGAACGCUGGCGGCGUGCUUAACACAUGCAGGUCGAGCGGUAAGGCCCUUUCGGGGGUACACGAGCGGCGAACGGGUGAGUAACACGUGGGUGACCUGCCCUCAGCUCUGGGAUAAGCCCGGGAAACUGGGUCUAAUACCGGAUAUGACUUCAUGACGCAUGUUGUGGAGUGGAAAGCCUUGUGCGGCUGAGGAUGGGCCCGCGGCCUAUCAGCUUGUUGGUGGGGUGAUGGCCUACCAAGGCGACGACGGGUAGCCGGCCUGAGAGGGCGACCGGCCACACUGGGACUGAGAUACGGCCCAGACUCCUACGGGAGGCAGCAGUGGGGAAUCUUGCGCAAUGGGCGAAAGCCUGACGCAGCGACGCCGCGUGAGGGAUGACGGCCUGG